AGCUGUUUGGCUAACAUUGCUGCUAGUGUCUGUGCAUUAUUUAAGUGUGUAUAUUUGUUUAUAGCCAGGUUAUGGUCGCGAUUGGGACGACGUUGCUGUUGGGUACAGGUUGUCCUUCCCUCCAGUUUGUGUGUGCUCUAGAUCACUUGCAUAUUUGCUGUUCGCCGCUUAUGGAUAAAGCUGUGAGUAACUGAGCCCGUGGGUUUAGCGAUCUACUUCCGGUGCAUCUGCUCGUGAGCCCUUCGUCACUGUGGACUGCAGGGCCAACGCUCUUUAGACAUCGUUAAGACUGCACUGUUUGUUCUGCUGCUACUUUUACGAUUGUGACUAUUUGCAUUUUAUUAUUACUUUCUGGUUUUGUUUGUUUUUCACGCUCAUUCUGGUGGGUUAGGUGAAGUGUGGCUAGUCCGAGUUGUCAUUUAAAGCGAGCUGUACCGUUCACGGUGCUUGCUUAGCGCCACCGGCUGUUAUAUUGCCACCAGCAGCGUGUUUGUUUUGUUUAUCUAUUUGGUUGUUUUUUUGUUGGAUCUGCGCUCUUCCUAAGGACGGCGUGGAAGGCUCGGGUAAUAUCUCGUACCUGGGAAGAUUUAGUUCCUAUUUGUUUUGUUUAAUGUUGAUUUGAGUCUUUUGGCUGAAAGCUCUUUUCAGAUUUAAGUUUUUGUUUUUUUGUAAUUUUGUUUUUUUUGUAUUUUAUGUGAUUUAAUUUGAAGCCUGUUGUCUUCAUUUGUAUUGUUGGUUUUAUUUCUUUUUUUCUUGGUUUUGUUCUUCUCCUUCACCUCUUGCUGCUCCAUGGCAUGUCUAGGUUCAUGAGCUUUUAGCAUGAACCUAGUUGAGUCUUUACAUCUCUCUGCCUGACCCUAGUGGCCAGUAAAUUGUCCAUUGUUCCCCUUUAUGGUUUGAACUUAUUCUAAUGCAAGUUGUUGGAUUGUACGCGAGUUGAAUUAAUUGUUAUUUUUCCUUUUCUUUUUUUGUUUAUUUCAGGAGCUGAAGGCCCCAGUGAGGGAAGCUAGCUGCCUUGGCCCUGUGGUGGUGGUGUUUCUCUCACAGAGUGUUUUGCUAUAUGAUAUCUGCGUCUCCCUCACUUAGAGUGGGUGUGGUGUGAGUGUGAGUGUUUUGAGUGGUGUGUCUUAGGAUACUCACUGUUCAGCUAGCUCCCUACUGGUAAGCCUCAGCUGCAAAGUUUCUUGUUUUUUUUACUACUUUUCGUUGUUUUGGUCGACAGUUUUCUAUAUUUUAACUAAUUAUUGUGCAAUAAAGUAUUUUUGUAUUUAUAU